rnacentral:lncRNA from 1 species
CCGCCUGGGCAACAGAGCAAGCCCUCAUCCCUUAAAAAAACAAAAACAAAACAGUAAAGAUUCCAAAAGAUGAUGCUCGUAAAGCACUGAGCACAGCAUCUGGUACACAGUGAGCGCUUUCAUUCAUGGUAAUUGUGUUACUAUGACUCACCCUUCUCCACAACUCUCUGCUGUCCUGCCUCCAUCCAGGACACCCCAGGGAAAAGAAAGACCUGCCUAUUCCUGUUAAGGUCUAAAUGACAAGCGAGACCGAGGGUCUGGACUUUAACAGGACUAUGAGGAGUGGGGUGAAGGAGCAUGAAAGGAGCUGAGCAAGACUGGCCUCCUUAAGACAGUGGUCCAGCAGCGUGGACUCCAGACUGGGCUUUGGCGUCAGAGAGACAGGCUUCUGCCACGUAUCAGAAGCGCAAACUUAGGCGGGGCCUGAGCAUCUUCAUCUGUGAAAUGGAGACACUAAACGGAACCGAUCUGACAGGGUUUGUGGGAGCAUUAAAUGGGAUAAUGAUGUAAAUAAAGCACGAUGCACAGUU